rnacentral:rRNA from 1 species
GACGAACGCUGGCAGCGUGCCUAAUACAUACCAGUCGAACGAGAGCGACCGGUGCUUGCACUGGUCAAUCUAGUGGCGAACGGGUGAGUAACACGUGGGUAACCUGCCCAUCAGAGGGGGAUAACAUCCGGAAACGGAUGCUAAAACCGCAUAGGUCUUCGAACCGCAUGGUUUGAAGAGGAAAAGAGGCGCAAGCUUCUGCUGAUGGAUGGACCCGCGGUGCAUUAGCUAGUUGGUGAGGUAACGGCUCACCAAGGCCGUGAUGCAUAGCCGACCUGAGAGGGUGAUCGGCCACAUUGGGACUGAGACACGGCCCAAACUCCUACGGGAGGCAGCAGUAGGGAAUCUUCCGCAAUGGACGCAAGUCUGACGGAGCAACGCCGCGUGAGUGAAGAAGGUUUUCGGAUCGUAAAACUCUGUUGUUAGAGAAGAACAAGUGCUAGAGUAACUGUUAGCGCCUUGACGGUAUCUAACCAGAAAGCCACGGCUAACUACGUG